AACGCGAAGAACCUUACCCAGACUUGACAUGCAGUAGACCGGUCCAGAAAUGGGCCUUUCCUUCGGGACUGCUGCACAGGUGCUGCAUGGCUGUCGUCAGCUCGUGCCGUGAGGUGUUGGGUUAAGUCCCGCAACGAGCGCAACCCUUAUCAUUAGUUGCCAACAUUUAAGGUGGGAACUCUAAUGAGACUGCCUGGGUUAACCAGGAGGAAGGUGAGGAUGACGUCAAGUCCGCAUGGCCCUUAUGUCUGGGGCUACACACGUGCUACAAUGGUCGGUACAGAAGGCAGCGAAACCGUGAGGUGAAGCAAAUCCCAAAAACCGGCCUCAGUUCAGAUUGUAGUCUGCAACUCGACUACAUGAAGACGGAAUUGCUAGUAAUGGCGAGUCAGCAACAUCGCCGUGAAUACGUUCCCGGGCCUUGUA
rnacentral:rRNA from 1 species